rnacentral:rRNA from 1 species
UACGUAGGGACCGAGCGUUGUCCGGAUUCAUUGGGCGUAAAGAGCUCGUAGGCGGCCACUCAAGUCGAAUGUGAAACCUCGAGGCUUAACCUCGAGCCUGCAUUCGAUACUGGGCGGCUAGAGUCUGGUAGGGGGAUCUGGAAUUCCUGGUGUAGCGGGUGGAAUGCGCAGAUAUCAGGAGGAACACCGGUGGCGAAGGCGGGAUCCUGGGCCAGUACUGACGCUGAGGAGCGAAAAGCGUGGGGAGCAAACAGGG